CGGCUCGUAAARCUCUGUUGUUGGAGAAGAACGUGCGUGAGAGUAACUGUUCWCGCWKUGACGGUAUCCAACCAGAAAGUCACGGCUAACUACGUGCCAGCAGCCGCGGUAAUACGUAGGUGGCAAGCGUUAUCCGGAUUUAUUGGGCGUAAAGCGAGCGCAGGCGGUUGHUUARGUCUGAUGUGAAAGCCUUCGGCUUAACCGAAGAAGUGCAUCGGAAACYGGGCGACUUGAGUGCAGAAGAGGACAGUGGAACUCCAU
rnacentral:rRNA from 1 species